UGACUGGGUAAGAGAGUUUGAUGGACUGACUCUAUUAAGCCACAACACCUCAAAUAGUGGUGGGGUUGCUAUUUUAUUUUCCCGCACUUUCACCCCCUUAUCCUUUCAGGUUGAGGAAAUUGUCAAAGGUAGACUUUUAAAAGUCAAAGCCCAAUUUGAAAAUCAUUUUUUUGUUUUUAUUUGUGUCUAUGCGCCUACUAUGGCAAUUGAGAGAAUGCUUUUUUUAAAUAGUCUAGACAAUACCUUACGUGGUCUUGAUUCACAGGAGUUUUUACUUCUGGGAGGAGAUUUUAACUGUACUGAAAAAGCCAUGGACAGGAACCAUGUAGAGCCGCACAUGCCCUCACGUAGACGGCUCAUUGAGUUAAAAAAUUUAAAUGUCCUAGUGGACAUUUGGAGGAAUUUCCACACUAUUGAUAAGCAGUAUACAUGGGUUCAUGCAUACAAUAAUUUAUUGUCUUUGGCCCGACUAGAUAGGUUUUAUGGUUUUAAACACCAGUUUAGUCUUUUUAGAAACUGCUCUAUCACUCCAGUUGGUUUUUCAGAUCACAGUUUAGUUGUUUGUUCUUUUUCUUUAAAUUCUGUUAAGCCAAAGAGUGCUUAUUGGCAUUUUAAUACAGCAUUACUGGAGGAUAAGCAUUUCAAAGAAGUUUUUUCCUAUUUCUGGAAAACCUUUAAGAAAGAAAAAAAUUCUUUUCCCACAUUGCAGCAGUGGUGGGACAUGGCAAAAGUAAAAACGAAGCAGCUUUGUCAACAGUAUACACUCAAUGUCACGAGAAACUUAACCGUAUCGCAAGAAGGUUUGGAGACAGAAAUUAUGUAUCUCCAGAACCUGGUGGAUACCACAGUUGAUCAAACUAAGAAAAUUAAUUCUAUUGAAAAAAUUAAAUCAAGUAAAAUUAAAUUGAAUGAUCUACUGGAAAAAAAGGCACAGGGCGCUCUGAUCCGCUCACGUUUCCGCAAUGUCUCGGAGAUGGAUGCUCCCUCAAAGUUUUUCUUUGGUCUAGAGCAGAAGAAUGGCCAAAGGCGGCUCAUUCAUGCCCUACGCUCAGAAUCAGGGUUUUUAUUAACAAAGACUUCUGACAUUAGGAAGCGGGCCACAGAGUUUUAUUCAAAAUUGUUCAGAAAAGAAUAUCAUGAAAAACAAGU
rnacentral:lncRNA from 1 species